CCGGGCUGCUCGGCGUGGCCGGGGUGGCGCUGGUGGUGCUGCGGCCGCAGUCGGCCGGGUUCGACGCCCUGGGCCUGGUC
rnacentral:tRNA from 1 species